UUGCUUUAUACUGAGCUUUUGAGUGUUCCCAAUCUGAAAUUCAAAAUGCUCUAAUGAGCAUUUCCUUUGAGCAUCAUGCCUGCUCUGAAAAAGUUUCUGAUUCUGGAGCAUUUUGGAUUUUGGAUUUUCAGAUUAGGGAUGCUUAACCUGGAUUAACAUUCUGUUGUGCCAUGAUCAUGCUUUACAGUGAGUGUAUUUUAUUUAUUUAUUAUUUUGUUUGUUUGUUUGAGAUGGAGUCUCACUCUGUCAUCCAGGCUAGAGUGCAGUGGCGUGAUCUCGGCUGACUGCAACCUCUGCCUCCCGGGUUCAAGUGAUUCUCCUGCCUCAAUCUCUCUCCCCAGAAGCUGGGAUUACAGGUGUGUGCCACCACACCCGGCUAAUUUUUUUUUUUUUUUUUGAGAUGGAGUCUAGCUCUGUCAUCCAGGCUGGAGUGCAGUGGUGUGAUCUCGGCUCCCUGCAACCUCUGCCUUCUGGGUUCCUGCGAUUCUCCUGCCUCAGCCUCCUGAGUAGCUGAGAUUACAGGCACGCGCCACUGUGCCCAGCCAAUUUUUGUAUUUUUAGUAGAGAUGGGGUUUCACAUGUCAGUCAUGCUGGUCUUGAUCUCCUGACCUCGUGAUCCACCCGCCUCGACCUCCCAAAGUACUGGGAUUACAGGCGUGAGCCACCGCAUCCGGCCUGAGUUUUAUGCUUUCAAUGUAUUUCUUACAUUUCAGUUCAAGUGAUUUUCAUGUCUCAGCCUCCUGAGUAGCUGGAACUACAGGUGCGUGCCACCAUGCCUGGCUAAGUUUUGUAUUUUUAGUAGAGAUGGGUUUUCAUCAUGUUGGCCAAGAUGGUCUUGAUCUCUUGACCUCAUGAUCCACCAGCCUAGGCCUCCCAAAGUGCUGGGAUUACAGGUGUGAGCCACCGUGCCCAGCCAACUAUGCCAUUAUUUAACCAUGUCCACACAUUCUGGUUAUUUUCAAUAUUUUGCAGAAGAUAAUUCUUGAUCGGUGUGUCUUAUGCCACAAGGAUUAAAAUAUGUAUUCAUUGCUACAAAACAAUAUCUCGAAAUUUAGCAGUUUAAAACAACAAAUAUUAUCUCCAGUUUCUGAGCCUCAGAAAUCUGAGAGUGGUUUAGCUGGGUGAUAGUCUCGUGGUUUUGGUCAAGCUACCAACCAGGGCUACAAUCUUUCGAAGGUGUCAUUGGGGCUAGAAGAUCUGCUUCCCGCAAGACUCACAGCUGUUGGCAGGAGACCUCAGUUUGUUGCCACAUGUUCCCCUCCAGAGGGCCUCUCACAACAUGGCAGUUAUUUGUCCCCAGAGCAAGCAACACCGGAGGGCAAGGAAGAAGCCAUGAUGUUUUUUGUAACCUAGCCUCUGAAAGUGUCAUACCAAUUCUGUAUUUUGUUGGUCACACAGACCAAGUCAACUACAACGUGGGAGACUCCUACACAAGGCAUGAAUUCUAGGAGGUGGGCAUUUUUAAGUGUCAUCUGGAAGGAGGCUGUCACAACCUGGAAGUUAAAAGCAUUGAUAUUCUGAAAUACAGCGUGUAUAACAUUGUUUUAGUAGGGUGUGCAAUAGUUAUGUUUUGGUAAUAGCAUUAAUGAACAAUGUUAUUUUCAUCUUCCAGACAUCUGGAAGAUUGCUCUAGUGGAGUAAAACAUCUUAAUGUAUUUUGUCCCUAAAUAAACUAUCUCACU
rnacentral:lncRNA from 1 species